AUGGAAGUGCUUUGGCAAGAAGGCCCUCAUGGCUCUUAGAAAAAAGCAUCAAGUUCAUGGAGAGGGAUAUAUUCUGACGACCCUCCUCCUCCAAAAUUCAACAGUUUGUCUGUGCUUCACUCUUUUAGCUCUCUGUUAGCCACUGAAGCAGCAGCAGCAUUAAAAUCUACCAGAGGCUUUUGGCUAAUGCAUGGCAAACCGGCAAGUCACGAAACGGCAAUGGGCUCGGCUAUUGAAUCUU
rfam:Citrus clementina cultivar Clemenules unplaced genomic scaffold scaffold_4, whole genome shotgun sequence.